AGAGUUUGAUCAUGGCUCAGGACGAACGCUGGCGGCGCGCUUAACACAUGCAAGUCGAGCGAGAACCAGACCUUCGGGUCUGGGGACAGCGGCGAACGGGUGAGUAACACGUGGGUAAUCAACCCUCGGUACUGGGAUAGCCCGGGGAAACCCGGAUUAAUACCGGAUGGCCCUUUGGAUCUUCGGAUCUGACGGAAAAGAUAGCUUCGGCCUCCGACCGAGGACGAGCCCGCGGCGGAUUAGCUUGUUGGUGGGGUAACGGCUCACCAAGGCGACGAUCCGUAGCUGGUCUGAGAGGACGAUCAGCCACACUGGGACUGAGACACGGCCCAGACUCCUACGGGAGGCAGCAGUGGGGAAUCUUGCGCUAAUGCGGGAAACCGUGACGCAGCGACGCCGCGUGAGGGAAGAAGGCCUUCGGGUUGUAAACCUCUUUCAGGAGGGACGAAGCCACUCGGGUUAAUAGCCCAGAGGGUGACGGUACCUCCAGAAGAAGCCCCGGCUAACUACGUGCCAGCAGCCGCGGUAAUACGUAGGGGGCAAGCGUUGUCCGGAUUUAUUGGGCGUAAAGAGCGUGUAGGCGGCUAGGUAGGUCCGUUGUGAAAACUCGAGGCUCAACCUCGAGACGUCGAUGGAAACCAUCUAGCUAGAGUCCGGAAGAGGAGAGUGGAAUUCCUGGUGUAGCGGUGAAAUGCGCAGAUAUCAGGAAGAACACCCGUGGCGAAGGCGGCUCUCUGGUACGUGACUGACGCUGAGACGCGAAAGCGUGGGGAGCAAACAGGAUUAGAUACCCCCGUAGUCC
rnacentral:rRNA from 1 species